rnacentral:rRNA from 1 species
CCUUCGGGGUACACGAGCGGCGAACGGGUGAGUAACACGUGGGUGAUCUGCCUCGCACUCUGGGAUAAGCCUGGGAACUGGGUCUAAUACCGGAUAUGACCACGAAUCGCAUGGUUUGUGGUGGAAAGGUUUACUGGUGCGAGAUGGGCCCGCGGCCUAUCAGCUUGUUGGUGGGGUAACGGCCUACCAAGGCGACGACGGGUAGCCGGCCUGAGAGGGCGACCGGCCACACUGGGACUGAGACACGGCCCAGACUCCUACGGGAGGCAGCAGUGGGGAAUAUUGCACAAUGGGCGAAAGCCUGAUGCAGCGACGCCGCGUGAGGGAUGACGGCCUUCGGGUUGUAAACCUCUUUCGACAGGGACGAAGCGCAAGUGACGGUACCUGUAGAAGAAGCACCGGCCAACUACGUG